rnacentral:lncRNA from 1 species
CUUGUAUGGUUUUUAUUAUUAUGAAGAGGUUUUAGUAUGAAUCAAGGUGUGAGCCCAGGUUUAAGAGAAUAAACAGUGUGUACCUGACAGAUGAAACUCAUAACACUUUUAUGACACCAGUCAUAGCACCUUUGAGUGUUUCAAUAUCAUUCAUAACAACCUUCAUAACGCAUUUAUUCAACAUCAUUCAUAAGGUAUCCUCCUCCAGUAAAGUGUUACGUGUCACCUAUUUAGGGUAGUUUGUAGACACGUGUAUCUUAGAACAGCAUUAAAUGAUGAAUGAUUGACUCUACUUUAAGUUUCCAAACUUUUUAUAUACUGUAUCACUUGUUUAUAUAUGAGCAGUCUAAGAUGUCCCAGUAGUGUUUUUAUGUUCCUCUCCUGUUGAGAGGAACUGAAGUCUUGUUCUUUGGGCAGAAUUAAGAGCUGUUGUAUCAGAUUAUAGGGUGUCAGGUGGUUGUGGUUUGUCAUGUCAGAGCGCUUCCUGAUCAGGUUUUGCAACAUCUCCUGGCAAUGUCUCUCUGCCCCUUGUGUUUUCUCUCAUUUCAUGACAUGUCUGUGGUGGAGGAUUCGUCUAAGGUUAGCUAAACCAUACACAGAUAUCUGUGAAGUUAUGGGAGGGUAACCCAGAUGGUCACUUUUAGUAUGCUCAUACUAAAAUACCUCUGUGCAUGAAUCCUUACGAAGAAACAGGGAAACAUUUUAAGGACAUUUCCCAGCCCAACAUUGACAUAAGAUGUUUGUCAUGUGGAAUUUUUGUUAAGGAUGGGGUUAUCCGUGCCAAAGAUGACAACUGGCAAGACCCCAUUCUGUCCUUAGGCCAAUCUGGACUUAGUUUAUUGUUGGGGUAGAUUUACAGCUAACCAAGAAUCACUUUUAUAGCUCAUAUCUUGAUGAUCUUGGGCUCCCAAGUGGCGCAGCGGUCUAACGCACUGCAUCUCAGAUCUUGAGGUGUCACUCCAGGAUGUCUCACAACCAGCCGUGAUUGGGAGUCCCAUAGGGCGCGCACAAUUGGCCCAGCGUCGUCCGGGUUUUGGCCAUCAUUGUAAAUAAGAAUUUGUUCUUAACUGACUUGCCUAGUUAAAUAAAAAAAAUGAUGCCCAGUACGCUUUCUUUUUCCAGUAACAGGUACCAGACAGUAGUUAACAGUAACAGGUACCAGACAGUAGCUAACAGUAACAGGUACCAGACAGUAGCAGGUACCAGACAGUAGCUUACAGUAACAGGUACCAGACAGUAGCUAACAGUAACAGGUACCAGACAGUAGCAGGUACCAGACAGUAGCUUACAGUAGCAGGUACCAGACAGUAGCUAACAGUAACAGGUACCAGACA